rnacentral:hammerhead_ribozyme from 1 species
AUUCAACUGACGAGUUGCAAAUAGGACGAAACGCGCGUCAUAGAU